rnacentral:rRNA from 1 species
AAUCAACGCUGGCGGCGUGCCUCAGACAUGCAAGUCGUACGAUUAAAGCUCUCUUCGGAGAGUGUAUAGAGUGGCGCACGGGUGAGUAACACGUAAGUAAUCUACCUUCGAGUGGGGAAUAACAGUCGGAAACGACUGCUAAUACCGCAUAAUGCAGCGGCACCUAAUGGUGACAGUUGUUAAAGCAUUUAUGUGCUUGAAGAGGAGCUUGCGGCAGAUUAGCUAGUUGGUAAGGUAAUGGCUUACCAAGGCAACGAUCUGUAGCCGACCUGAGAGGGUGGUCGGGUCACACUGACACUGAAUAACGGGUCAGACUCCUACGGGAGGCAGCAGUCGGGAAUUUUGGGCAAUGGGCGAAAGCCUGACCCAGCAACGCCGCGUGAAGGAUGAAGUAUUUCGGUAUGUAAACUUCGUAAAAAUGGGAAGAAUAAAUGACGGUACCAUUUGUAAGGUCCGGCUAACUACGUGCCAGCCGCCGCAGUAAC